UACGUAGGGCGCAAGCGUUGUCCGGAAUUAUUGGGCGUAAAGAGCUCGUAGGCGGCUUGUCACGUCGGGUGUGAAAGCCCGGGGCUUAACCCCGGGUCUGCAUUCGAUACGGGCUAGCUAGAGUGUGGUAGGGGAGAUCGGAAUUCCUGGUGUAGCGGUGAAAUGCGCAGAUAUCAGGAGGAACACCGGUGGCGAAAGGCGGAUCUCUGGGCCAUUACUGACGCUGAGGAGCGAAAGCGUGGGGAGCGAACGG
rnacentral:rRNA from 1 species